GACGAACGCUGGCGGUGUGCUUCACACAUGCAAGUCGAACGAGGUAGCGAUACCUAGUGGCGGACGGGUGAGUAACGCGUGGGAAUCUGCCUUUAGAUGGGGGAUAACGGGUCGAAAGACUCGCUAAUACCGCAUAUGACGAAAGUUGAAAGGAGUAAUCCGUCUAAAGAUGAGCCCGCGUCCGAUUAGCUAGUUGGUAGAGUAAAAGCCUACCAAGGCGACGAUCGGUAGCUGGUCUGAGAGGAUGAUCAGCCACAAUGGGACUGAGACACGGCCCAUACUCCUACGGGAGGCAGCAGUGGGGAAUUUUACGCAAUGGGCGAAAGCCUGACGUAGCGACACCGCGUGAGCGAAGAAGCCCCUUGGGGUGUAAAGCUCUGUCAGCUGGAACGAAAAAAUAGACGGUACCAGCAGAGGAAGCAUCGGCUAACUACGUG
rnacentral:rRNA from 1 species